rnacentral:rRNA from 1 species
UACGGGGGGGGCAAGCGUUGUUCGGAAUUACUGGGCGUAAAGGGCUCGUAGGCGGCCAACUAAGUCAGACGUGAAAUCCCCAGGCUUAACCUGGGAACUGCAUCCGAUACUGGAUGGCUUGAAUCCGGGAGAGGGAUGCGGAAUUCCAGGUGUAGCGGUGAAAUGCGUAGAUAUCUGGAGGAACACCGGUGGCGAAGGCGGCAUCCUGGACCGGCAUUGACGCUGAGGAGCGAAAGCCAGGGGAGCAAACAGG